rnacentral:rRNA from 1 species
CAGCAGUCGCCGCGGUAAAACGAAGGGUGCAAGCGUUAAUCGGAAUUAAUGGGCGUAAAGCGUGCGUAGGCGGUGAGUUAAGUCUGCUGUGAAAUCCCCGGGCUCAACCUGGGAAUGGCAGUGGAUACUGGCUCGCUAGAGUGUGUCAGAGGAUGGUGGAAUUCCCGGUGUAGCGGUGAAAUGCGUAGAGAUCGGGAGGAACAUCAGUGGCGAAGGCGGCCAUCUGGGACAACACUGACGCUGAGGCACGAAAGCGUGGGGAGCAAACAGGAUUAGAUACCCCAGUAGUCCCUGUCUCUUAUAC